rnacentral:rRNA from 1 species
UACGAAGGGGGCUAGCGUUGUUCGGAAUUACUGGGCGUAAAGCGCACGUAGGCGGGUAUUUAAGUCAGGGGUGUAAUCCCGGGGCUCAACCCCGGAACUGCCUUUGAUACUGGGUAUCUAGAGUCCGGAAGAGGUGAGUGGAAUUCCGAGUGUAGAGGUGAAAUUCGUAGAUAUUCGGAGGAACACCAGUGGCGAAGGCGGCUCACUGGUCCGGUACUGACGCUGAGGUGCGAAAGCGUGGGGAGCAAACAGG